rnacentral:lncRNA from 1 species
UUAGUUCUGCCAAAAGGAAGCCUCCCACUAGGGUCGAUACGGCAAUUUUGGCAGUAUAAGGUUGGAUCCUUCGGGAAGGCUUAGUUCUGCCAAAAGGAAGCCUCCCACUAGGGUCGAUACGGCAAUUUUGGCAGUAUAAGGUUGAAUGGCGUAAAAAUGUUGCACUACAAAAAAACAGCUCAUUGCCGACGGACAGUGACGUCGCCAAUGACCCUAGUGCCGUCGGCAAUGAGGUCAUUGGCGACGGCACUGUUCGUCGCCCUUUCCGUCGCCGUAUAGGUCGUCGCCCCUGCCUCCCGUCGCUCGCCGUCGGCAAAAUAGUCAUCGCCGACGGGGUCUUUGCCGACGGCACGCCGUCGAUAAUGCC